GUGGGGAAUAUUGGGCAAUGGGGGAAACCCUGACCCAGCAACGCCGCGUGAGGGAAGAAGGUUUUCGGAUUGUAAACCUCUGUCCUUGGUGACGAAGGAAGUGACGGUAACCAAGGAGGAAGCCCCGGCUAACUACGUGCCAGCAGCCGCGGUAAUACGUAGGGGGCAAGCGUUGUCCGGAAUGACUGGGCGUAAAGGGCGUGUAGGCGGCCGAUUAAGUCUGGAGUGAAAGUCCUGCUUUCAAGGUGGGAAUUGCUUUGGAGACUGGUUGGCUUGAGUGCGGAAGAGGUAAGUGGAAUUCCCAGUGUAGCGGUGAAAUGCGUAGAGAUUGGGAGGAACACCAGUGGCGAAGGCGACUUACUGGGCCGUAACUGACGCUGAGGCGCGAAAGCGUGGGGAGCGAACAGGAUUAGAAACCCUGGUAGUCC
rnacentral:rRNA from 1 species